rnacentral:rRNA from 1 species
GACAGAGGAUGCAGGCGUUAUCCGGAAUGAUUGGGCGUAAAGCGUCUGUAGGUGGCUUUUUAAGUCCGCCGUCAAAUCCCAGGGCUCAACCCCUGGACAGGCGGUGGAAACUACCAAGCUGGAGUACGGUAGGGGCAGAGGGAAUUUCCAGUGGAGCGGUGAAAUGCGUAGAUCUUGGAAAGACCACCAAUGGCGAAGGCACUCUACUGGGCCAUUACUGACACUAAGAGACGAAAGCUAGGGGAGCGAAUGGG